rnacentral:rRNA from 1 species
CCUACGGGAGGCAGCAGUGGGGAAUAUUGCACAAUGGGGGGAACCCUGAUGCAGCGACGCCGCGUGAGUGAAGAAGUAUUUCGGUAUGUAAAGCUCUAUCAGCAGGGAAGAAAAUGACGGUACCUGACUAAGAAGCCCCGGCUAACUACGUGCCAGCAGCCGCGGUAAUACGUAGGGGGCAAGCGUUAUCCGGAUUUACUGGGUGUAAAGGGAGCGUAGACGGUUAAGCAAGUCUGAAGUGAAAGCGCAAGGCUCAACCAUGGGACUGCUUUGGAAACUGUAAAACUGGAGUGAAGGAGAGGUAAGCGGAAUUCCUAGUGUAGCGGUGAAAUGCGUAGAUAUUAGGAGGAACACCAGUGGCGAAGGCGGCUUACUGGACUGUAACUGACGUUGAGGCUCGAAGGCGUGGGGAGCAAACAGGAUUAGAUACCCGAGUAGUC